ACUUUGUAAGGAGUUCAAAUGAAGUUUCAGCUGAUAAAGACCUAUCCCAUAUACCUCCAUUAAAGACCCAUGAUAAAUCAUUAACAAGAUUACUAUCAAAGAGAUAGAAGAUUUACUGUCUGUCAGUACAUCACUUCAAGGGAAGGAAACAGUGACAGAAUCAUUCAUUUAACCCCCUGUGACUAAAAGGAAGCUGAUGGGUAGUGACAUCUCAAAGGUUGCUGUUGUAGAAGAGAAAUUAUAAAGUAAGACUGAAAAACAAACUUACCAAGAAAUGAGCAUUUCAAGGUUAUGAUGAAUUACCAAAUGAACAGCUUGUGCUUGAGCAUCAAGAUUUAGUGCCAAAAACCCAAAUGCAAGUAGAGAAACAAAAAACUCCUGGAAGAAAAGAUUCACUAAACCAAGGUGACACCAAUAUGGUUUGUGGGACUGCUAAAGCACUCUGCAAGAGUGGUCCAAACAUAUUUUAGUCACAGGGAGCUCAUUACAGCUCAGUUUGGAGUACUAGAUGGAAAUCUUGUGCUUGAUGAAAACUAAAAUUCAAUAUCAAAAACACAAAUGCAAGUAAAGAAACAGAGAACAUCCAAAGGGGAAAGAAACAUUACUAAUGAUGAUGUACCAGAUAAAAACCUUAUGCUUAAGCAUCAAGACUCAAAGUCAGAAACAGAAAUGCAAGUAAAGAAACAAAAAACUUCCCAAGGUGAAACAUUCAUUAGAAGAUUUUUGGGAGACAAAGGUGCUAGGUGCUGGCAAUUAGCCUCUCUUUAUGUAGCUCAUGACAACGUAACAGAUGAAAAUCCUGUGCUUGAGCCACAAGAGUCAAUGUCAAAAACCCAACUUCAAGUAAACAAACAAAAAAUUGCUAAAGAGGAAAGAGUCACUAAACUCAAAUUGGUAGAUAAGGUGUUGAGAUCUGUAACUCAAAAGGCAAAUGUGGAUCAAAGGAACAAACUAGAAGGGUUGCCUGAGAGGCCUGCUGGAGGAUCCGUAAGGCAUCCGUUUGGCUGGGACCCACUCAAAGCUCAUGAUAAAGUACCUGGAAAUUAUGAUCCUAAAGACUCAAUGUCAAAAACUCAACUGCAAGUAAAAAAACAAAGAGCUUCCAAAGGGGAAAGAUUCUAUGUUCAGGAUGAAGUACCAGAUGAAAAUAAUUUACCUGAGCAUCAAGACUCAAUGUCAGAAUCAGAAAUUGAAGUGGAGAAACAAAGAAGCCACAAAGGAGAAAGACCUAGUACUCUUAAUGAAGUGCUAGAUGAAAAUCUUAAGCUUAAACAUCAAGACUCAGAGUCAAAAACCCAAGUACAAUUUAAAAAACAAAAAAAAUCCACGGAGGAAAGAAUCAGUACUCAUUUUGGAGUACGAGAUGAAAAUUUAAUGCUUGUGAAUGAAGAUUCAGUGUCACAACCCCAAAUGCAAGUAGAGAAACAAAUAACUUACAGAAAGAAAAGGCGCCAUACUUAUUUUGGCAUACCUGAUGAAAAUCUUAUGUUUGCGAGUCAAGAUUCAGCAUCAAAAUCCCAAGUGCAAGCAAAGAAAAAAAUAACUUCCAGAAAGGAAAGACGUAAAACUGAGAAAAUGGAUGAAAAAGCAGGUAAAAAUCUUUCACCUGAAGAUAAUGAAGUUUUAAUCUCAAACGGCUUAUCUCAAAUUAAGACACUUGGAGCUACCAGAAAAGUGGGACUUACUAAACAUGAAAGGAAAUAUUCCUCGAUAAUUGAUCAGGAUAUGUAUGAACCCUCAGAUUUUACCCUUGAAGAUCUAGAACUUACUAUAGGAUACAAGGAUCAAAGAGAAAGAAGUGGAGUUUACCAAUCUCAAAGAUUGAAUGUCAAAAAUGAAGUAGCCUCAGAACUUCCAGAUAUGGCAGAUAUUCCAGCAAUUAAUCCAUCAAUUAGUGAUCUAAUACUUCAAUUAGAUUUAAACAAAGUAAUAGAAACUGAUAUAGAACACUUGAAGGAUGCCAUUGAAAGAAGUAUAUUGGUGAAGGAAAAGAAGAUACAAUCAAAGAGUCUCCCUGGUGUGAAUUUAUUCAAAAACAGAUAUAUGUCCACACAACAUCAAGAAGAUUUUUUUAACAGUCACAUUGCACCACGUAAAUUCUCUACAAACAGGAUCAGUUUUUCAACCUUUGACACUCAAGAUGAGAGACGUUUUGUUGAGCCCAGGAGUCCAUGGAAGUAGUUCCAAGCACACUGUUGGAACAACAACAAAAUCUGAUAUUGGAUACAUUGUAGAGGGCAAAAGGAACAUUUUGACUUUACUGCACCACUCCUUCAGGACAACCAUACUUCAUUGUCAAGAGAGCCCUUUUCAUCCCGGGAUUUCUUGCAUGGGAAAGAGUGAGAGCAUAGAACUGAGUCAUAAGCUGCAUGACCAGAGGGCAGAGAACGGCUGAGAGAACGGCAGUCAAGGCUCAGAACUAAAUGUAUAAAAGGAUUGUGACUGCUAAGUGUGUCAAGGACUCAAUCAGGAGGCCCACACAUCAGCUGCUGAAAAACUUCACCUGUGGAUCCCCCACACCUGACCCACAGGCACCUCCAGCACUUCAUGUGUCUCACCCACACAAACUCCACCCUGUGACUGGCUCCCUGUGCAUGCUCCCAACCACAACAAGAGUGAGCUUUGACAGACAGUGGACACCCACAAAAAGCAGACCUGGAAGAAACCAUAAAGUUGAGCAGUCAGCACUGCCAUAAGGAAAACAAAAAGGAGGACUUGAGCAACCACCCUGUCUUUAUAGCACAGAAACAAGGCUUAAGAAUUCUCCCACAAAAGAGAGCAAAAGAAAGAUCUGAAUACAUUUCACCCCAUGUGAAUAAACCUCCAAAAGCAUAUCACAGAACAUCUAGGGCUGGGUCAACCAUUUAUAAAACCAUCCAGUUUCCUUCACUAAAUAAAGAACCUCCA